AGAUUGAACGCUGGCGGCAUGCCUUACACAUGCAAGUCGAACGGCAGCACGGGGGCAACCCUGGUGGCGAGUGGCGAACGGGUGAGUAACAUAUCGGAACGUGCCCUGGAGUGGGGGAUAACUAGUCGAAAGACUAGCUAAUACCGCAUACGAUCUACGGAUGAAAGUGGGGGAUCGCAAGACCUCAUGCUCGUGGAGCGGCCGAUAUCUGAUUAGCUAGUUGGUGGGGUAAAGGCCUACCAAGGCAUCGAUCAGUAGCUGGUCUGAGAGGACGACCAGCCACACUGGGACUGAGACACGGCCCAGACCUCCGUAGGGAGCAGCAGUGGGGAAUAGUUGGACAAGUGGGACAAAGCCUGAUCCAG
rnacentral:rRNA from 1 species